rnacentral:rRNA from 1 species
AGAAUCAACGCUGGCGGCGUGCCUAACACAUGCAAGUCGAACGAGAAAGUGGAGCAAUCCAUGAGUAAAGUGGCGCACGGGUGAGUAACACGUGACUAACCUACCCUUGAGUGGAGGAUAACCUAGAGAAAUCUGGGCUAAUACCGCAUAAUACCUUCGGGUCAAAGGAGCAAUUCGCUUAAGGAGGGGGUCGCGGCCGAUUAGUUAGUUGGCGGGGUAAUGGCCCACCAAGACUAUGAUCGGUAUCCGGCCUGAGAGGGCGCACGGACACACUGGAACUGAAACACGGUCCAGACUCCUACGGGAGGCAGCAGUGGGGAAUUUGCGCAAUGGGGGAAACCCUGACGCAGCAACGCCGCGUGGAGGAUGAAGUCCCUUGGGACGUAAACUCCUUUCGAUCGGGACGAUAAUGACGGUACCGAGAGAAGAAGCCCCGGCUAACUUCGUGCCAGCAGCCGC